rnacentral:lncRNA from 1 species
GCGAUCUGCAGCGCGCCCAGCGUGGAGAUGACGACGUCGGCGUCGCGGACGGCGCUGAGCAGGCUGGCGUGGUCGUAGAGGUCGCCGUGGAGGAGGGUGACGCCGGCGUCGCGGAAGCUCUGGAGAAGCUGCGACUUGGCGGGGUCGGAGGGGGAGAGGUCCCUGACGAGGGCGGUGGUGGGAUGACCCAGCCGCGCGCUGGCCAAGACGACGUGCCGGCCGAUGUACCCCGUGCCGCCCACCACCAGGAUCCUGCUCUUCUUCUCCUCGCCACCGGACGCCAUUGUUCUAGCGAUCUACCUAGUACAAGUAGAG